rnacentral:tRNA from 1 species
GGGCGGUUAGCUCAGCUGGGAGAGCACCUGCCUUACAAGCAGGGGGUCACAAGUUCAAGUCUUGUACCGCCCACCA